rnacentral:rRNA from 1 species
CACGUAGGGCGCAAGCGUUGUCCGGAAUUCUUGGGCGUAAAGAGCUCGUAGGUGGUUUGUUACGUCUGCUGUGAAAACCUAGGGCUUAACCCUGGGCUUGCAGUGGAUACGGGCAGACUAGAGGUAGGUAGGGGAGAAUGGAAUUCCUGGUGUAGCGGUGGAAUGCGCAGAUAUCAGGAGGAACACCCAUAGCGAAGGCAGCUUGCUGGGACGUUACUGACGCUAAGGCGCGAAAGCUAGGGGAGCAAACGGG